GACGAACGCUGGCGGCGUGCCUAAUACAUGCAAGUUGAGCGCUGAAGGUUGGUACUUGUACCAACUGGAUGAGCAGCGAACGGGUGAGUAACGCGUGGGGAAUCUGCCUUUGAGCGGGGGACAACAUUUGGAAACGAAUGCUAAUACCGCAUAAAAACUUUAAACACAAGUUUUAAGUUUGAAAGAUGCAAUUGCAUCGCUCAAAGAUGAUCCCGCGUUGUAUUAGCUAGUUGGUGAGGUAAAGGCUCACCAAGGCGAUGAUACAUAGCCGACCUGAGAGGGUGAUCGGCCACAUUGGGACUGAGACACGGCCCAAACUCCUACGGGAGGCAGCAGUAGGGAAUCUUCGGCAAUGGACGAAAGUCUGACCGAGCAACGCCGCGUGAGUGAAGAAGGUUUUCGGAUCGUAAAACUCUGUUGGUAGAGAAGAACGUUGGUGAGAGUGGAAAGCUCAUCAAGUGACGGUAACUACCCAGAAAGGGACGGCUAUCUACGUG
rnacentral:rRNA from 1 species